rnacentral:rRNA from 1 species
AUUGAACGCUGGCGGCAGGCCUAACACAUGCAAGUCGAGCGGUAGCACAGGGAGCUUGCUCCUGGGUGACGAGCGGCGGACGGGUGAGUAAUGUCUGGGAAACUGCCUGAUGGAGGGGGAUAACUACUGGAAACGGUAGCUAAUACCGCAUAACGUCUUCGGACCAAAGAGGGGGACCUUCGGGCCUCUUGCCAUCAGAUGUGCCCAGAUGGGAUUAGCUAGUAGGUGGGGUAAUGGCUCACCUAGGCGACGAUCCCUAGCUGGUCUGAGAGGAUGACCAGCCACACUGGAACUGAGACACGGUCCAGACUCCUACGGGAGGCAGCAGUGGGGAAUAUUGCACAAUGGGCGCAAGCCUGAUGCAGCCAUGCCGCGUGUAUGAAGAAGGCCUUCGGGUUGUAAAGUACUUUCAGCGAGGAGGAAGGCAUUGUGGUUAAUAACCACAGUGAUUGACGUUACUCGCAGAAGAAGCACCGGCUAACUCCGUGCCAGCAGCCGCGGUAAUACGGAGGGUGCAAGCGUUAAUCGGAAUUACUGGGCGUAAAGCGCACGCAGGCGGUCUGUCAAGUCGGAUGUGAAAUCCCCGGGCUCAACCUGGGAACUGCAUUCGAAACUGGCAGGCUAGAGUCUUGUAGAGGGGGGUAGAAUUCCAGGUGUAGCGGUGAAAUGCGUAGAGAUCUGGAGGAAUACCGGUGGCGAAGGCGGCCCCCUGGACAAAGACUGACGCUCA